rnacentral:rRNA from 1 species
UAGGGAAUCUUCGGCAAUGGGGGGAACCCUGACCGAGCAACGCCGCGUGAGUGAAGAAGGUUUUCGGAUCGUAAAGCUCUGUUGUUAAGGAAGAACGAGUGUGAGAAUGGAAAGUUCAUACUGUGACGGUACUUAACCAGAAAGGGACGGCUAACUACGUGCCAGCAGCCGCGGUAAUACGUAGGUUCCGAGCGUUGUCCGGAUUUAUUGGGCGUAAAGCGAGCGCAGGCGGUUAGAAAAGUCUGAAGUGAAAGGCAGUGGCUCAACCAUUGUAGGCUUUGGAAACUGUUUAACUUGAGUGCAGAAGGGGAGGGUGGAAUUCCAUGUGUAGCGGUGAAAUGCGUAGAUAUAUGGAGGAACACCGGUGGCGAAAGCGGCUCUCUGGUCUGUAACUGACGCUGAGGCUCGAAAGCGUGGGGAGCGAACAGG